rnacentral:rRNA from 1 species
AACGAACGCUGGCGGCAUGCCUAACACAUGCAAGUCGAACGAGACCGUCGGGUCUAGUGGCGCACGGGUGCGUAACGCGGGGGAACCUGCCCGUAGGUUCGGAAUAACUCCCCGAAAGGGGUGCUAAUACCGGAUAAUGUCUUCGGACCAAGGAUUUAUCGCCGUUGGAUGGGCGCGCGUUGGAUUAGCCAGUUGGUAGGGUAAAAGCCUACCAAGGCGACGAUCCAUAGCUGGUCUGAGAGGAUGCUAAGCCACACUGGGACUGAGACGCGGGCCAGACUCCUACGGGAGGCAGCAGUGGGGAAUAUUGGACAAUGGGCGAAAGCCUGAUCCAGCAAUGCCGCGUGAGUGAUGAAGGCCUUAGGGUUGUAAAGCUCUUUUACCCGGGAUGAUAAUGACAGUACCGGGAGAAUAAGCUCCGGCUAACUCCGUG